CACGUAGGGUGCGAGCGUUGUCCGGAAUUACUGGGCGUAAGGGCGCGUAGGCGGCCUGUUAAGUCGAACGUGAAAUCCCCGGGCUCAACCCGGGAACUGCGUCCGAUACUGGCAGGCUUGAAUCCGGGAGAGGGAUGCGGAAUUCCAGGUGUAGCGGUGAAAUGCGUAGAUAUCUGGAGGAACACCGGUGGCGAAGGCGGCAUCCUGGACCGGCAUUGACGCUGAGGCGCGAAAGCCAGGGGAGCAAACGGG
rnacentral:rRNA from 1 species